GACACAGGGAGGUAGUGACAAGAAAUAACAAUACGGGGCUUAAUGUCUUGUAAUUGGAAUGAUGGGAAUUUAAACCUCUUCCAGAGUAUCAAUUGGAGGGCAAGUCUGGUGCCAGCAGCCGCGGUAAUUCCAGCUCCAAUAGCGUAUAUUAAAAUUGUUGCAGUUAAAAAGCUCGUAGUUGAAUUUCUGCUGCAUUGCUUUUGCUCCUUUAUGAGUCUUUGCAUUGUGGCUUAUUUCGGACUUUGUUUUACAAUGUCCGGAUGUUUACUUUGAGAAAAUUAGAGUGCUCAAAGCAGGCUUUCGCCUUGAAUAGUUUAGCAUGGAAUAAUAAAGUAGGACUUUGGUUCUAUUUUGUUGGUUUUAGGUACCAAAGUAAUGGUUAAUAGGAACAGUUGG
rnacentral:rRNA from 1 species